CUUUAAUUCAGCCGGCGAUUAAUUGAGAAACGAUACUAAUAGCCCUUCCCUUUUUCUUCAAUCUUCUUCUCCGGCGAGCCCUAGGCGGCGGAGAUACCCAGUAAGUGGAUACAAAUGUCUUUACUAUAUCAGAUAUCAGUUAGAGAAAUUUAUACUAAACAUACAAUUACAACCCUUCUUUCUAGUUUUGGUAGAUAUGCGUUGGUGUUGUGCAAUUUGCAUAACUCCAUCUCAUCAUCACAGUUUUCCACCUAUCGGGUUGUUUCCAAAAUCCCAUCACCAGUUAGAGAUUUCAGUACCAUUUCAAAUCUUGCUCGUAGUAACUGGUUGAUUAAAAAGCUUGGUAAAGAAGGAAAAAUUGGAGAAGCACGUAAGGUUUUUGAGGAAAUGCCUGAUCGAGAUGUGGUCUCAUGAACUGCUGUGAUUUCUGGGUAUAUUGAAAGUGGAAUGAUUGAGGAAGCCAAGACGUUAUUUGAUAGAAAUGAUGCUAUAAAGAAUGUUGUUACUUGGACAGCAUGGGUUAGUGGGUAUGUAAGAUUGAACAGGAUUGAGGAGGUUAGCAGAUUGUUUGAUGCCAUGCCUGUUAAGAAUGUCGUGUCGUGGAACACUAUGAUUGUUUGAAAAAAUGCCUGAGAGGAAUGUGGUGUCUUGGAAUAUUAUUAUUACAGCGUUGAUGCAACAUAGGAGAGUAGACGAAGCUCAGGAGCUUUUUAAUCGGAUGCCAGAGAAUGAAGCUCAGCUUUUUAAUCGGAUGAAGCUCAGCGUUGAUGCAAUUUGAUUUCCUCAAGGGGCUUGAGGUCAAGCCUUCGGCACCUGUUUGGGCAGCUCUUCUUGCCAGAUAUGUUCAUGGGCAUAAAAACGGCUGAAGAACUCUUAGAAACAGAGCCAGAGAAUGCAGGAACCUUUUUGCUGCUAUCUAACACAUAUGCUUCAACUGGAAAAUGGAGAGAAGCUGCCAGAGUAAGAAAGAAAACCAAGGACAAAGGAUUGAAGAAGCAGCCUGGUUGCAGUUGGAUAGACGUUGGAAAUACAGUGCAUGCAUUCGUAGUGGAUGACAAUUCUCAUUGCGAAUUUGAAAAUAUUUACCUUUUACUUCACGAUCUACAUACGAAAAUGAAGAAGAUUGGUCAUACAUUGCAUGAGGAUUUAACAAUGGAUUUCAAUUUAUGAUGGCAUGAGCCUGGAACUGUCGGGAAAUUUGCAUGGCCAGCCUUAUCUUCUUCAAUGAUGCUAAAUGCGUUGCAAUUAAAUUGUGGAAGAAUAUAAGAGAAUAUUUAUUUGCUUUAUGGUCGGCUACCUAAUUCCUUCUUACUUGGAUGAUCAUGUAACAGUUUCCAUGUGUCGAUGAGAUGUGUUGACAUUGACACCACAGGUAGGGUACAGAACUCUGUUGGAUCAGGGCGCUCAUUCGGUUAUGUGUUUCACAAGAUUUUUACAGAAUAUUAACAUCACAGUAACAGUGUAAUGUCCAUAUUCUUGGCCUUCCAGUUGGCUUUCAAAACCUGGAUGCACCUGUUACGAAAAUUAAAUCAAAGCAAGAAAGAUAAACCAGCCAUUUUUUUGUCCUUUCUCAGCUUCGCAGUGAGAACUAGUAGAAAUGGAUGGUUCAAUUCCUAUCUCCAUGAUACAAGAAUUAUCCAACACACAUAAUUCAUAGACUACGCUUACUUGAUUGUUUCAAUAAUAGCAUUUUCACUCAAUAUGCUUCCUAGUUGCGUUUUCUGAUGAAUAUCAUAAUUUGACUUGUGAAUUUUGAGGUCUGAACCUAGGGUUUAGAGCCAUAGUGAGACCAUGGUGAUUUUCUUUUAUUCUGAAGUUGAUCGAAUCUCUCCUUGGCCUGCUAAUUUUGAGGUCAGGUAUUCUUUUAUAGUUAUUACAAAAGUAAAAGAUAAUUUUUUUUGUUAAAAUUGUACUUUAUUGUCUUAAAUAUAUUUAAGAUAUGAUUUAGAAAAGUAGGUUAUUUAUAAUUUAUUCUACGUUUACUUGUUUAUUUUUGGUUACUCAGUGGUUAGUUAAAUACAUUUUCGAGUGACAAGUUCCUUGAAUUUGUAAUUUUCUUUGUUCUAGAGAUUUUGUGUAAUGGUUUCUUACUUCUUACAUCCUUAUAUUUAAACCAGGAAAUCAAGAGAAAAAAGUGGAGAAGUGUGUAAAAAAACGUAAAAUUUUCUUUUGAGAUGGAAAUUUUCGUUUUGGUAGUCCAAGCUCUCUUCAUUGGGUCUGCUGUAUGUUUUAUUCUUUGUUUAUAUAAGAUCAUAUAACACUUGCAAGCAGACGGUUCAAAAUUAAUCUUUAGAGUCAUAGAAAUUUGUUAAAAUCACAUUUGAUUUAUCAUUUGGUAUGUUUAUAACAUUGUCGCUUCCUUAUAACAGCAAAUUUCCUGUUAUUAAUAUCCACUCCAUCUCUCAUUGUCAGCCAUAUUCACAGGCAAAUGGUAAAUAGGGAAGCAAGCAACUUGUAUGGAUGAGAUUACUUCCACCAUCAAACAACUAAGAUAGAUUUCUUCCCUCUUUUACAGGGAUGACUUCAAAUUUUCUGGAAGAAUAAAAUUUAACUGUUUUUACUAAACUUAUUUAUUGAUUGCUUUUCCUUUCCUCGUUUCCCUCUUGCUCUUGCUCUCUCGCCUUAGUUUGUGAGUUGCCUAAGAAUUGUAUUAUUGUGGUUGUCACCAAGUGUCAAACUCAUAGAAGUCCAUCGACUUGAUAAAUGACUAUGCACUAAUAUAUCUCAUUGAAAAUAUUAGUCUA